GCACAAGCGGUGGAGCAUGUGGUUCAAUUCGACGCAACGCGAAGAACCUUACCUGGGCUCGAAAUGUAGUGGACCGGGGUGGAAACAUCCCUUCCCGCAAGGGCCGCUAUAUAGGUGCUGCAUGGCUGUCGUCAGCUCGUGUCGUGAGAUGUUGGGUUAAGUCCCGCAACGAGCGCAACCCUCGCCUUUAGUUGCCGCGCAAGCGGAUCUCUAGAGGGACUGCCGGUGUUAAACCGGAGGAAGGUGGGGAUGACGUCAAGUCCUCAUGGCCUUUAUGACCAGGGCUACACACGUGCUACAAUGGCCGGUACAACGCGUCGCCAACUCGCGAGAGGGAGCUAAUCGCAUAAAACCGGUCUCAGUUCAGAUUGGAGUCUGCAACUCGACUCCAUGAAGGCGGAAUCGCUAGUAAUCGCGGAUCAGCACGCCGCGGUGAAUACGUUCCCGGGC
rnacentral:rRNA from 1 species